rnacentral:rRNA from 1 species
UACGGGGGGAGCAAGCGUUGUUCGGAUUUACUGGGCGUAAAGGGCGCGUAGGCGGUCAGCACAAGUCAGUUGUGAAAUCUCCGGGCUUAACUCGGAAAGGUCAACUGAUACUGUGCGACUAGAGUGCAGAAGGGGCAACUGGAAUUCUCGGUGUAGCGGUGAAAUGCGUAGAUAUCAAGUGGAACACCAGUGGCGAAGGCGAAUCCCUGGAAAAUACCUGACACUGAGGCACGAAGGCCAGGGGAGCAAACGGG